UAGUCCACGCCCUAAACGAUGUCAACUAGACGUUGGGUUCUAACUCAGUGUCCAAGCGAAAGUGAUAAGUAAUCCACCUGGGGAGUACGAUCGCAAGAUUGAAACUCAAAGGAAUUGACGGGGGCCCGCACAAGCGGUGGAGCAUGUGGUUUAAUUCGAUGAUACGCGAGGAACCUUACCAAGGCUUAAAUGCAGAACGACAGAAAUGGAAACAUUUCUUCCUUCGGACGGACCGCAAGGUGCUGCAUGGUUGUCGUCAGCUCGUGCCGUGAGGUGUCGGGUUAAGUCCCAUAACGAGCGCAACCCCUACUUCUAGUUGCCAGCGGAUAAUGCCGGGGACUCUAGAGGAACUGCCCGUGUAAACGGUGAGGAAGGUGGGGAUGACGUCAAAUCAUCACGGGCCCUUACGUCUUGGGGCUACACACGUGCUACAAUGGUGGAGACAGAGAGUCGCAAACUCGCGAGAGUAAGCUAAUCUUCAAACUCCAUCUCAGUUCGGGAUCGUAGUCUGCAAC
rnacentral:rRNA from 1 species